rnacentral:rRNA from 1 species
UACGUAGGGGGCUAGCGUUGUCCGGAAUCAUUGGGCGUAAAGAGCGUGUAGGCGGUCCGGUAAGUCCGCUGUGAAAGUCGGGGGCUCAACCCUCGAAUGCCGGUGGAUACUGUCGGGCUAGAGUGCGGAAGAGGCGAGUGGAAUUCCUGGUGUAGCGGUGAAAUGCGCAGAUAUCAGGAGGAACACCUAUUGCGAAGGCAGCUCGCUGGGACGUAACUGACACUGAGGCGCGAAAGCUAGGGGAGCGAACGGG